rnacentral:rRNA from 1 species
GACGAACGCUGGCGGCGUGCUUAACACAUGCAAGUCGAACGGAAAGGCCCUGCUCUUGUGGGGUUCUCGAUUGGCGAACGCGGGUGUAACACGUGAGUAACCUCCCCUUGACUUUGGGAUAACUUUACGAAACUGCGGCUCAUACCGGAUAUGAGCUCCUGCUCCAUGUUGGUGGUUGGUAAGUUUCGGCUGUUGGGGCUGGACUCGCGGCUUAUCAGCUUGUUUGUGGAGUAGUUGCUGACCAAGCUUGUGACGGGUAGCCGGCCUGGGAGGGUGACCGGGCACAUUGGGACUGAGAUACGGACCAGAAUGCUACGGGACGCAGCAGUGGGGAGUAUUGCAGAGUGGGGGGAAGCCUGAUGCAGCAACGCCGCGUGCGGGAAGACGGCCUUCGAGUUGUAAACCGCUGUGGAAUGUGACGAAGCGUGCGUGACGGUAAUGGGUAAGGAAGCACCGGCUAACUACGUG